rnacentral:rRNA from 1 species
UCCUUUUCCUCUUUUUUUUUUCUUUACCUCUGGUUGCCCUCGAUAGUCGCGAACUUAUGUUCAUCAUUACACCGUAAUUUGGGUUCCUUCUGGGUGCUCAAACUUCUCAUCCGUUUUGUUACCGUUAAUCCUUGUUGCUUUCGGCGGGUCCUCAUGCAAGGCCUCGCCUGGGGGCGGCGUUGUUCCGGCCUCCCCGGGGCUCACGGCCGCCCCGCCGGAAGUAACCCCUUCGGAACCGCUGGAGCCUCUUUGAAAGGGCCGGUGCCCGGUCUGGAGUUCCGCCGGUGGAAGAAAAUUCGGUGGAAAACCUUUUUAACAAACCGGGAUUCUUCCUUUGGGUUCCCGGCAUUCGAAUUGAAAGAACGCAAGCGAAAUGCGAAUAAAGUAAAUGUUGAAUCGCAGAAUUCCGUGAAUCAUCGAAUCUUUGAACGCACAUUGCGCCCCCUGGCAUUCCGGGGGGCAUGCCUGUCCGAGCGUCAUUGCUGCCCUCAAGCCCGGCUUGUUGUGUUUGGGCCGCCGUUCCCCGCCCGCCGCGGGGGGACGGGCCCGAAAAGGCAGCGGCGGCCGCCGGCUGGUUCGGUCCUCGGAGCGUAUGGGGCUUCGUCACCCGCCUCUUGCAGGCCCGGCCGGAGCCUCAGCCCGACCCCGCGUCAACAUCUUCCAGGUUGACCUCAGGAUUCAGUAGGAUACCCGUUGAACUUAAG